rnacentral:lncRNA from 10 species
ACAGAAUAGUGGAGGGGGUGAAUGUAUGGAGGUCAUGAGUCCAGCAUCUCUGGGCCCUCUCCACCAUGGUUUAUGACCAAGGAGGAAAGGCAUGACUCCCUGCCAGCCCAGCCUGGGGAUGCCAGAGGUGGACUGAUUGACCUGGCAUGAGGCAGGUGCUCAAGUCUGGAUCAAUUGUGGAGGAAGUUCAGUGCAUUUCCUGACUCCUUCCCACCUCUGUGAAUGCGCUCCAGGCUAUAGAGUAUCUCCCAACAGAUAUUCUUCAGUCCAGAGGACUCACAGUAUUGGCCUCCUGGGAUUUACUUGGUUUCUUGCUGACAUUUCCCCUGUCCCCAUGGCCCUUUUCCACACCCCACCUCCUACCUCCAGUAGGUCAGACUCUGGGAGGCACUGGCAGACUCACAUCCAGCUGGAUACCAUCAUAGCUAAAGCAGUGCUGUGAUCUUUGUGCUUCUGCCUCUGUGGGUAGAGCCCUGAUCCCCUCCUGUGGACCCAACCCGCUCAGUGCAGGUGGACCCAGCAAGCAGAGCUGUGGAUUCAGGCUGGUGGCUGAUCCCCUCACACCUUGGAGACCUUGGGGUUCCUGCUCGUUGCCUCAGGACUGCCUCCUUCCUGGCUGUUGGGGCUGCUGUGCCCAGCUCACCUCUGGGGUCAGCCUCUCUGGGGCCGGCUUCUUGCUGCAGGUACAAGACUUUGGCAAGCUACAGUAAGUGCCACUGGGGCUGGCAUUGCUGGUUUCUUCCAGUCCCACCGUGGCCUGCACAGGGACGAUGUCCUCCCACACCUCCAUUUCCAGCAUGGAGACGAUUCAAGGCCAUCAUGUGAACAGCUCCUCGGCCUGCUGGGUGAAGAACUGAGAGAUCAAUCCCACACUCUGGCCUCCACCUAUGUGUGCCUCAGCCUUGGUUCCUUCCCUCUCAGGCCAUCCUAGGAGAAGCCAGGUCCUCUUGGGGGUGGUGGGGGUGCGGGGAGGUUUGUGGCAGUGCCCUGCUGCCCACCAAAGCUGACUCACGACUCCUCCAAGCUCAUGCUGCUGCUCACUCAGGGUUGUGGGACUGCCAGCCUCCAGCCACCCCUCUGCUCCCUUCCACCUCCUGCUGUGUCAACUGGGCCCUGUACACAUGCAUAUGAUAACCCCCUGCCUGGCCAAGCUCUGUCCACACCCCUCCACCCUCCUGCGAUGCCAGGUGCUGCCUCCUGGGACUCCCUCUCUUCAUGAUAAUAUGCACUGAUGCCCUUCUCUGACAUUUAGCUGUUUUCAGGGAGGAGUAAACUGCAUGGUGGGCUGGACAUGGUGAGCACAGGGUGAAACAGACUGCGAAGGAAACUAGAUGGCUAGGCUUCAGGUCGGCGCCUUCCAUGGACAUGGGAGUUGUUGGGAGGGCAGUCAGCAGGAAGGGGGCUGCAUUGGGAGGGGCUUGGAAGAUGGGCUGGGGAGAUCCCCAGGAGGGAGGUAGUGAGGGGCUGCCACCUAGGUCUUCUGCUUCCUGUGAAGGACUUGUGGGGGAGACCUCCUCUCCUCCUGUGUCCACAGUGCCCGUGUCAGACUGCAGCUGCCACUGGCUCCAUAGGACAGGAACCCCUGAGCUUCUGCACUGUUCCUGCUGUCAGGGCCAACCUGACAGAGUUAAAGCCAAUUCCCUCCAAAGCCAGCUAGACUCGGGGUAGAUUCUUCUAAUGCCACUUUGCCCAGUGAUGCCCUUGCUUCAGGUUCAAAUUAACCAAAUGAACAUAUUGCAUGAGAUGGUUUCAGCCCUAUACGAAGUAGUUGGAAUUCUAUUAGAUUUCCCCUGAUUUUCUUCCUUGUGAGCAUUUGUUGUUAGCUAGUCUAGCACUCUAGUGUUUAUUACAUAUUU